ACUCCUACGGGGAGGCAGCAGUGGGGGAAUAUUGCACAAUGGGGCGCAAGCCUGAUGCAGCCAUGCCGCGUGUAUGAAGAAGGGCCUUUCGGGGUUUGAUGAAAAGUCACUUUUUCAGUCAGGUGGAGGAAGGUGGAUAUGUUAAUAGCAUAUUAUUUGACGUUAGCUGCAGAAGAAGCACCGGCUAACUCCGUGCCAGCAGCCGCGGUAAUACGGAGGGUGCGAGCGUUAAUCGGAAUUACUGGGGCGUAAAGCGCAUGCAGGUGGUUUGUUAAGUCAGAUGUGAAAGCCCGGGGCUCAACCUCGGAAUUGCAUUUGAAACUGGCAAAGCUAGAGUACUGUAGAGGGGGGGUAGAA
rnacentral:rRNA from 1 species